CAGUAGCCGCGGUAACACAGAGGGUGCGAGCGUUAAUCGGAUUUACUGGGCGUAAAGCGUGCGUAGGCGGCUUUUUAAGUCGGAUGUGAAAUCCCUGAGCUUAACUUAGGAAUUGCAUUCGAUACUGGGAAGCUAGAGUAUGGGAGAGGAUGGUAGAAUUCCAGGUGUAGCGGUGAAAUGCGUAGAGAUCUGGAGGAAUACCGAUGGCGAAGGCAGCCAUCUGGCCUAAUACUGACGCUGAGGUACGAAAGCAUGGGGAGCAAACAGGAUUAGAUACCCCUGUAGUCCCUGUCUCUUAUAC
rnacentral:rRNA from 1 species